AAUCAACGCUGGCGGCGUGCCUAACACAUGCAAGUCGAACGAGAAAGUGGAGCAAUCCAUGAGUACAGUGGUGCACGGGUGAGUAACACGUGACUAACCUGCCUUCGAGUGGGGAAUAACCUCGGGAAACCGGGGCUAAUACCGCAUAACAUCAUCGGGUGAAAUUCCUGCUGAUCAAAAGUUUUUUGCUUGAAGAGGGGGUCGCGGCUGAUUAGCUAGUUGGUGGGGUAACGGCCCACCAAGGCAGUGAUCAGUAGCCGGCCUGAGAGGGCGCACGGCCACACUGGAACUGAAACACGGUCCAGACUCCUACGGGAGGCAGCAGUGGGGAAUUUUGCGCAAUGGGGGAAACCCUGACGCAGCAACGCCGCGUGGAGGAUGAAGUCCCUUGGGACGUAAACUCCUUUCGAUCGGGAAGAAUAAUGACGGUACCGGAAGAAGAAGCCCCGGCUAACUUCAUGCCAGCCGCCGCCGUAA
rnacentral:rRNA from 1 species